rnacentral:rRNA from 1 species
AACGAACGCUGGCGGCAGGCUUAACACAUGCAAGUCGAACGCUCAUCUUCGGAUGGGAGUGGCAGACGGGUGAGUAACGCGUGGGAAUCUACCCAGUUCUACGGAAUAACUGAGGGAAACUUCAGCUAAUACCGUAUACGCCCUUUGGGGGAAAGAUUUAUCGGAAUUGGAUGAGCCCGCGUCCGAUUAGCUAGUUGGUGGGGUAAUGGCCUACCAAGGCGACGAUCGGUAGCUGGUCUGAGAGGAUGAUCAGCCACACUGGGACUGAGACACGGCCCAGACUCCUACGGGAGGCAGCAGUGGGGAAUAUUGGACAAUGGGCGCAAGCCUGAUCCAGCCAUGCCGCGUGGACGAUGAAGUCUUUC